AGGUUCUGUCUUGAAUGAACGACCUGAAACUUACGGCCUUGGAGGAGACUGCGGGCUGAUAGCUAGUUGGUGGGUAACUGCCUACCAAGGCGAUGAUCAGUACGGGCUCUUAGCGGAGUUGCCCGGAGAAGGAAUCUGAGACACUAUUCCUAGCCCUACGGGGUGCAGCAGCAGCGAAUCAUUUGCAAUGUACGAAAGUAUGACAAUGCGAGCCAAAGUGCUUUUCAUUUCGAAAAGCUUUUACCCACUGUAAAAAGGUGGGAGAAUAAGGACUGGGCAAGACCGGUGCCAGCCGCCGCGGUAAUCCCGACAGUUCAAGUCGCACCCACUUUUAUUGGGUCUAAAACAUCCGUAGCUCGCUUUUUAAGUUUCUUGUGAAAUCCUACGUCUCAAGCGUGGGGCUUGCGGGAAAUACUGGAAAGCUAGAGAUCGGUAGACGUAAGGAGUACAUCGGAGGUAGUGGUAAAAUACGUUAAUCUUCGAUGGACUAACAAUGAGCGAAGGCACCUUACGAGGACGAAUCUGGCAGUCAGGGAUGAAGGCCAGGGGCGCAAAACGGAUUAGAUACCCGUGUAGUCCUGGCAGUAAACACUGAUCACUAAACAUCGGGCCCUCUUCGGGAGGAUUCGGUGCUGAAGCGA
rnacentral:rRNA from 1 species